GGCCUAACACAUGCAAGUCGAGCGCGCCCUUCGGCGUGAGGGGCGGACGGGAUAAAAACGCGUGCGAAUAUACCCUUUGGUACGGAAUAGCCUCUGGAAACGGAGAGAAAUACCGUAUGAGCCCUUCGGGGGAAAGAUUUAUCGCCAAAGGAUUAGCCCGCGUUAGAUUAGGUAGUUGGGGGGGUAAUGGCCUACCAAGCCUACUACCUAUAACUGGUUUUAGAGGAUGAUCAGCGCCACUGGGACUGAAACACGGCCCAGACUCCUACGGGAGGCAGCGGUGGGGAUCCUUGGAAAAUGGGGGCAACCCUGAUCCAGCCAGGCCGCGGGAGUGAUGAAGGCCUUAGGGUCGUAAGGCUCUUUCGCCAGAGAUGAUAAUGACCGUAUCUGGUAAGGAAACCCCGGCUAACUCCGUGCCAGCAGCCGCGGUAAUACGGAGGGGGUGAGCGUUGUCCGGAAUUAUUGGUCGAAAAGCGCGCGUAUGGGUAUUUUUAAAUUAGGGGCGAAUAUCGGGGUUCAACCCCGGAAAUGUAUUUGUAAAAGAUAAAAAGAUUCAUAGAUGAAGUGGAUUCAAGUGUAGAGAGAAAUUCAAGAUAUUAAACGAUAAACAAGCAAGGCAGCUACAUGGUCGAAAUGACAUAAACAUGUAAAAUUUGAGACGUAAAAAAAUAAAACCCUAAAAUACACACCAACAUAUAAGAUCACAAUCGACAAUACAUGCUAUAAGAGAAGCGAUUAGAUAUGAGUAUA
rnacentral:rRNA from 1 species